rnacentral:rRNA from 1 species
UACGUAGGGACCAAGCGUUGUCCGGAAUCAUUGGGCGUAAAGAGCGUGUAGGCGGCUUGUUAAGUCUUGCGUGAAAUCUCGGGGCUCAACCCCGAGCGGUCGUGAGAAACUGGCAGGCUAGAGUGCGGGAGAGGAGACUGGAAUUCCUGGUGUAGCGGUGAAAUGCGCAGAUAUCAGGAGGAACACCGGUGGCGAAGGCGGGUCUCUGGGCCGAUACUGACGCUGAGGAGCGAAAGCGUGGGGAGCGAACAGG